CAGUGACUUACAGAUAGUGGGUUGCUUGGUUAAAUUUAGUAUUUUAAUCUCACCAUCAAACUCCUUAGACAUCUAAAUUGGAGGAUCUUCCUCUUCACAAGUCCCAUCCUCUGAGGCUCUGGGUCUUUGGGGUACACCAUUGCCAAACUGAUCACUGGUAACUGGUUAUUAGAGUUGUUGGAGUAAGAAACUAAUAUUCAAUUGGUUUUCAGAGUAGAAGAAACAUUAUUACUAGAUUUGUUUUGCACCAAUUUAAGAAAAUAAAUACAAGUAUCAAUUGAGUUGUAUAAAAUGGAAAACAUGUUAUGUCUCACAAAGCAGGGCAUGUCCAGAGCAAUGUGGAACCAGUGGUCACUCUGAGCAUCCACCCCAGCAUUCAAGAGCAAAUUCAUUGCUCUCCUCUGAAGGCUACACAUGCCUGAAGAAACUAGUCCAAAAGAAACAAAUGAAAUCCUGCAUGUGAAUUUAAUUUUAUUUCCACCGUGCUAAUUUCUGACGUUAAAUCUGGAACAACUCUAAGGGAUAUGCAUCUUUAAGUGAUAACAGUAGAUUCUAGAAAUAUCAUUCCUUUGUCAGGAUCCUUUUGAGGUAGAUAACUUUGGAAACACUUUGUGAAGUGAAUAAAU
rnacentral:lncRNA from 1 species